GAAGAGGCUGCCUGUAAAGAUUACUGCCAAGUGUCCCGGAUGACAAUCCCAGACACCAUCAAUGUAAAGACAUAUGAAUGAGUGAGCCUUAACAUGAUUCUAGCCCCAGUCAUAAUCUGACUAAAACUGCAUGAGAUACCUGAGCAAGAAUUACCUAGGAAAGCCCAGUCAACACCAAGAAAAAUGAAAGGCUGCUAUUUUCCCACACUGAUGGAACCUGAGAGAACUUUAUCUGAAAUGCCAACAUUAGGGUGAAACUUUAACAAGAGAACUAAAAUUUGAAGAUAAAUCAAUAAAGAGAAACAGUGGCUAAACCAGAACAUGGAGUGGUAAGAAGAGAUGCAUGAAGAAACAAUUACUACCAAUCCUUGAGCACCAAAUCUGGCUGGGCAAGAGUGGAAGUUGAGGCUGUGUGAAGAGGCAGAAUCUUCUAACCGACUUGCUAUAAUCAGAUUAAUGUAAUCAGAAUUCAAAGAGAGAAGUCAUAGAUGAGGAAGUGGAGUAGGCCACAAUCAGG